CAUACCCUGUGUGAGAAGGGAACCUGCUGCCUUGAAGGGAAGGAACAAGUUCUUGUAGAAUUCAUCACAUACUGAAUAAAAUCCCUUGGGAACAGAAUAAUUAGCAGUGGUGGCAAGGCAGUACUUGCCACAGGCCUUUAGUGCUCCUUAGAGAAAUACUGGCUUCAAAUGGGAUCCAGCACAUUCCCAGCUGUGUUGGCCACAGGAGUGCUUGUGUCACCCAGCUCCCAAAUCCAAGCAGCUCAGCACAGAGAGAGAGAGAGAGAGAGAGAGACUCUGUUGUUUGAGAGAAAGUAAAGGGAAGAGAACAAAAGCCUAUGCCUGGUAAUCCAGGGAAUUCUCCUAGCUCUCACCCAAGACCAUCAAGGCAGCACAUCCAUAAGUCUGGAAAAGAAACAGCAACACUAGGAUUGGGGUGCCCUCUAAUGCAGAUACAGCUGAAGUGACCAAAGACAUAGAUUGCAGCACCCAAAUUCUAUCAAAUACUUGAAAAGCCUUCCCAAGAAGGACAGGUAAAGCAAACCCAGCAUGCAAAGACCACAACAAAUAUCUGAAUCUUCAAUGCCUAGACACCAGUGAACAUCCACAAGCACUAAGACCAUCCAAGAAAACAUGACCUCACCAAAUGAACUAAAUAAGGCACCAGUGACCAAUUUGAUACAUAUGUGACCUUUCAAACAGAUAAUUCAAUAUAGCUGUUCUGAGAAAACUC
rnacentral:lncRNA from 10 species